AUAGAAAUUAAAGGAGUCAAAAUUAAAUAAAUAUCGAUAAAAAAGAGCAGUUUUACAAUUGUAUAUAUUAUAUAACAAUAAGUUGGCUUGAAUGACUUUUGUCGUCAACUGUCGUUAAGAAGUUAUUUUUGCAAAUAUUUCAGUAAACAAACAACUAUUAUACAUUAUUUAUUAUUGAGAAAUUGUUCCAAAAUGUACAAAGAGCACACCAUAAUAGAGAUGGACCAUUCGGAAAUUGUGAUGAAUCGUGGUCAUUCAAAGAAGACAAUUAUUAUGAUAGUAAUGUCGAUCUUAUUAUGUUGAUGUGUGUUAUCAACAGCAAUUGUUGUAGUAGAAUUAAAAAAAAACAAGAACCAAAGAACAUAAACAGGGAAUUUAAUAAUUUAACAAAUUUCAAUUUAUUCGAAUUAAUCGAUGAAAUAAAAAAAAUGAAUAUGUCAAUUGACUAUAGUCAAGAUAUCAGUAUCAGAACACGUGAUGUGUCAAAAAUUGAUACAGCUGUAGACGCAGCAUCCAUUUUGGUUGGCAUCAUACAGACAUAUUUAGGUAAAAAAGAGCAAAAUCAGAUCCACGUCAAAAAAAAAAACGAGUUCAAAAUCAUAAUUAAUAUGCAAUAUAUAGGUAUAAAUGUAUAAUACUAUAUAUAUUUUUUUUAAUUGCAUUUUUCACAUUUUGAAUGAUUACAUUGAUGAUUAUUAAUAUUUAUAUUAACACUUGGGUCUUGGACGUGAAUCUGAUUUCUGCUCUUUUUUACCCAAAUAUGACUGUAUGAUGCCAACCAAAAUGGAUGCUGCUUCUAUAGCUGUAGAAAUUGUGUUGUUUAUA